rnacentral:rRNA from 1 species
AACGAACGCUGGCGGCGUGGAUAAGACAUGCAAGUCGAACGCUGACUUCAGGGUAGCAAUAUUCUGGAGUCGGAGUGGCGCAAGGGUGCGUAACACGUGGGUAAUUUGCCGUGAAGCCCGGAAUAACUCGCUGAAAGGCGAGCUAAUACCGGAUGUGACUUUUGGGGGGCAUCCUCUGGAAUUCAAAGCUGGGGACCGCAAGGCCUGGCACUUCAUGAUAAGCCCGCGGCCUAUCAGCUAGUUGGUGAGGUAACGGCUCACCAAGGCUAAGACGGGUAGCUGGUCUGAGAGGACGACCAGCCUCACUGGAACUGAGACACGGUCCAGACACCUACGGGUGGCAG